GAGUUAUGAUCCAGAGUACCACGAGACACGUGAAACCUUGUGGGAAGCAGGGAGGACCACCUCCCAAGGCUAAAUACUACCUGAUGACCGAUAGUGAAGCAGUACCGUGAGGGAAAGGUGAAAAGAACCCCGGGAGGGGAGUGAAAUAGAACCUGAAACCGUGUGCCUACAACCGCUCAGAGCCCCUUAUGAGGGUGAUGAGGUGCUUUUUGUAGAACGAGCCAACGAGUUACGGUAUGUAGCAAGGUUAAGUACUUAAGGUACGGAGCCGAAGGGAAACCGAGUCUGAAUAGGGCGACUAGUUGCAUGCCGUAGACCCGAAACCGGGUGACCUAUCCAUGGCCAGGUUGAAGCGAGGGUAAAACCUCGUGGAGGACCGAACCACGUUGCUGUUGAAAAAGCAUGGGAUGAGCUGUGGAUAGCGGAGAAAUUCCAAUCGAACCCGGAGAUAGCUGGUUCUCUCCGAAAUAGCUUUAGGGCUAGCGUCGAGUAUGAGUAGUGGAGGUAGAGCACUGAAUGGGCUAGGGGGCAUAGCGCUUACCGAACCUUAUCAAACUCCGAAUGCCACAUACUUUGAGCUCGGCAGUCAGACUACGAAUGAUAAGAUCCGUGGUCAAAAGGGAAACAGCCCAGAUCGUCAGCUAAGGUCCCAAAGUGUAAGUUAAGUGGGAAAGGAUGUGAGAUUUCUAAGACAACUAGGAUGUUGGCUUAGAAGCAGCCAUUCAUUAAAAGAGUGCGUAAUAGCUCACUAGUCGAGAGAUCUUGCGCCGAAAAUGUAACGGGGCUAAACUUACCACCGAAGCUACGGGCUUGAACUUAGUUCAAGCGGUAGGAGAGCGUCGUAACCGGGCUGAAGUCGUACCGUAAGGAGCGGUGGACUGGUUACGAGUGAGAAUGUUGGCAUCAGUAGCGAGAUGUGGGUGAGAAUCCCACAGGCCGAAAACCUAAGGUUUCCUCAGGAAGGUUCGUCCGCUGAGGGUUAGUCGGGACCUAAGCCGAGGCCGAAAGGCGUAGGUGAUGGACAACUGGUUGAUAUUCCAGUACCACUACCAUCGUUAUUAUCGAUGGCGUGACGCAGGAGGAUAGUGUGUGCUAGCUAUUGGAUGCUAGUCUAAGCGUUUAGGCAGUGAGAGUAGGCAAAUCCGCUCUCAUAAUGCUGAGGCGUGAUGGGGAAGGUUCCACGGAACCGAAGUACAUGAUUCCACGCUGCCAAGAAAAGCGUCUAGAGAGAGAAGUAGUGCCCGUACCGCAAACCGACACAGGUAGGUGAGGAGAGAAUCCUAAGGCCGGCGGAAGAAUUACAGUUAAGGAACUCGGCAAAUUGACCCCGUAAGUUCGCGAGAAGGGGUGCCUACGAGAGUAGGCCGCAGAGAAUAGGCCCAAGCAACUGUUUAGCAAAAACACAGGUCUCUGCUAAAGCGUAAGCUGAUGUAUAGGGGCUGACGCCUGCCCGGUGCUGGAAGGUUAAGGGGAACACUUAGCGCAAGCGAAGGUGUGAACUUAAGCCCCAGUAAACGGCGGCCGUAACUAUAACGGUCCUAAGGUAGCGAAAUUCCUUGUCAGGUAAGUUCUGACCCGCACGAAUGGCGUAAUGACUUGGGCACUGUCUCAACUGUAAAUCCGGCGAAGUUGUAGUGCGAGUGAAGAUGCUCGCUACCCGCGAUUGGACGGAAAGACCCCGUAGAGCUUUACUGUAGCUUAGCAUUGAGUUUUGGUAUUGUCUGUACAGGAUAGGUGGGAGACUAGGAAACCAGGGCGUCAGCCUUGGUGGAGUCAACCUUGGGAUACCACCCUGACAGUACUGAAAUUCUAACUGGCGGCCAUGAAUCUGGUCACAGGACAUUGUUAGGUGGGCAGUUUGACUGGGGCGGUCGCCUCCUAAAAAGUAACGGAGGCGCCCAAAGGUUCCCUCAGAACGGUCGGAAAUCGUUCGAAGAGUGCAAAGGCAGAAGGGAGCCUGACUGCGACACCCACAAGUGGAGCAGGGACGAAAGUCGGGCUUAGUGAUCCGGUGGUACCUCGUGGGAGGGCCAUCGCUCAACGGAUAAAAGCUACCUCGGGGAUAACAGGCUGAUCUCCCCCAAGAGUCCACAUCGACGGGGAGGUUUGGCACCUCGAUGUCGGCUCGUCGCAUCCUGGGGCUGAAGUAGGUCCCAAGGGUUGGGC
rnacentral:rRNA from 1 species